rnacentral:rRNA from 1 species
CACGUAGUUAGCCGUGACUUUCUGGCGGGGCACCAUCAGUCAGCACCCAUUUCCUGAUGCUGCCUUUUUUCCCCCGCAACAGAGCUUUACGACCCGAAGGCCUUCUUCACUCACGCGGCAUCGCUCGUUCAGGCCUGCGCCCAUUGACGAAAAUUCCCUACUGCUGCCUCCCGCAGGAGUCUGGGCCGUGUCUCAGUCCCAAUGUGGCCGUCCGCCCUCUCAGGCCGGCUAUGCAUCAUCGUCUUGGUGGGCCUUUACCCCGCCAACCAACUAAUGCACCGCAGGUCCAUCCGCGCCCCAUCCCCCUAAAGGAUGUUUCACAGAAAGAAGAUGCCUCCUUCCUGUACAUCGGGAUUUGUUCUCCGUUUCCAGAGCGUAUUCCCGGUGCACGGGCAGGUUCCCUACGUGUUACUCACCCGUUCGCCACUAGAGACCCGAAGGUCUCUCGUUCGACUUGCAUGUAUUAGGCAUGCCGCCAGCGUUCAUCCUGACGCCAGGA